rnacentral:lncRNA from 10 species
GACUGUAUUGCUAAGAUACCACUUCUCUCCAAAAUCAUUUAUUAGAUUCGAUGUAAACUUAGUCAAAUUCCCAAGUGGCUUUUUGGGGGAAAGUGGUAGAAAUCAAUAAGCUGUUUCUAAAAUUUAUAUGGAAAAAGUGAAAGAAUUAGAAGAGCCAAAACAAUUUUGAAAAGCACAAGUGAGAAGACCCACAUUACCUAAUUUCAAGACUAACUAUAAAGUUCAUAAUGUAGACAUAAUAUAAAAUGGAGUUUAAAAACAGACCCACAAAUAGUCAACUGACAAAAGUAAAAAAGCAAAUUACUAGAGAAAGGAUAGUGUUUUUUCAACAAAUGGUGCUGGAACAACUGAACAUUCAUAUGCAGGAAGAAAAAAAACCCCAAACAAAAACCUCAAACCAUAUCUUAUACUACCUAUAUAUAAAAAGUAGCUCAAAAGUGAUCAUGGACCAAAAUGUACCUCAACCUGUAAAGCUUCAAAGAAAACAGAAGACAUGUGUGACUGGUUUAAGAAAGAGUUCUCAGAUACUACACCAAAAGCAUGAUCCAUAAAAGAAAAACAAUUGACAAGCUUUAUCAAAAUUAAAAGCAGCUGUUCUCCUUCCUAAAAACACUAUUAAGGGACUGACAAGACAGGAAAAACUCUGGGGGAAAAUAUUUGCAAAUCACAUGUCUGACAAAGGACUUGUGUCCAGAAUAUAUGAAGAACUCUCGAAAUUGAACAAUAUGAAAACUCAACUUUUAAAAAUGGGCAAAACAAUAGGACCAUUUACUAAAGAAGACACACUAAUGACAAAUAUGUAAGGAAAGAUAUUCAUUAGGAAAAGGCAAAAUCACGAUGAGAUACCACUCUACAUCUAUUAUAAUGUGUAUAAUUAAAACUAUACAUUCUGACCACACUAGCACUGGUGAGUACGUAGACUAAUGAAUGCUUUAUUGCUGGUGGGAAAGGAAAAUGGUACAGAUGCUUUGGAAAACAGUUUAGCAGCUUCUUAUGAAGUUUAACACUUAGAGUAUAACCCAGCACUCCUAUUCCUAGGUGUUUACCUAAGUGAAAUGAAAACUUCAGCUACAUGAUUCAUGCAUACUAUAUGAUUCCAACUGUAUGACAUUUUUGAAAAGGCCAAACUAUAUGAUCAGAAAAACAAAGCAGUGGUUCUCAGGGUGGGGGUGGGGGGUUGAGCAUGGUAAGAAGUUUAGUUAAAUUAGCAAAAAACAACUUCCUGUAGUGAUGGAAAUGUUCUGUAUCUUGAUUGUAUUUAGCUGUAAGACUGUUUAAAUUUGUUAAUAUUAAUGGAAUCAUACGUAUAAAGAGUAAAUUUUACUGUAUUAUAUCACAAUAAACCAAGACUUAAGAAAAACUGCCUAGUAUAUAGAAAAUGUUGAAACGCAUGUUAUCCUUCACUUCAGUUGAGCAUCUGGGCACCACACUAGCAUGUGUGCCACCUGGGAUCCUUUUUAUUACACUGCAAUAAUCACACUGGCUAAACCUAUUCUUUAAACUUGUAACACUACCUAAUUUUAACAGUUUGAGGAAAGCAUUCCAUUUUAAUCCAAAAAAUAUACCUCUUCCCCCUGCCCCCCAGACAGAAUUUUGCUCUUCUUGCCCAGACUCCAUCUGAACAACAAUAACAAAGAAAAUAACAAAGAGGGCAAAGAAGAAAGCCAUCCAUAUUCCCACAACCUGGAAUAACUAUUUUAGGAAUUUUUUUUUUUUUGCUUGCUUCCAUGGUGUUUUUUUUUUUUUUCCGGAGACAGGGUCUCACUCUGUUGCCAGGCUGGAGUACAAUGGCAGGAUCAAAGAUCACUGCAGCCUCAAUCUUCCGUGCUUAAACUAUCCUCCCACCUCAGCCUCCCGAGUAGCUCGAAUCACAGGCAUGUACCACCACGCCUGGCUAAUUUUUUAAAAUUUUUGAAGAAACACGCUGUAUCUAUAUUGUCCAGGCUGGUCUCAAGUCAUGACAAGUGAUCCUCCCACCUCGGCCUCCCAAAGUGUUGCGAUUAUGGGUGUGAGCCACUGCCCAGCCUCCAUUGUUUUUGCAAUGUAGGUACUUAAAUUAUGUGGUAUGUUCAUAUGUACCUAUGUAUUUAUUGUCCCUCAUAUAAAUAUUAAAACAUUACAAAUAAAAGUAAUAUUCCUUCUUUGACCACUCAACCCCUUCAAGAGGUACUCUAUUAUAAAGUGUAUCCUUCCAGUCCAUAUAUCUCUUUGAAAUAAAUACUAGUAUAAUGUGAUUAACAUAUAAAGAUAGUUGAUGAGCAGGAUUCCUUACUCAUGUAUCUUGGGUUUGUCUUUGAAGUGUAUCAUUUGGACUUAUAUUUCAUUUCUACUACAUGGAAUCACAAAGUUUUGAGAAAAAUUCAUGUAAAUAAAGAGUUGAACUAUUAAGAUCC